GAAUAAGUAAUUCCUCGCCCUAGUCGGCAGCGAGUCGGACUUCCAUGCCCGAUCUCACCCCUGUGGCGUGGCUAAGGCUGAGUCGAGUCUGAUUCCAUCCGCACACGAUCUCCCUUUCUACGAACCGUUUCCCCAUGACCCUGUUCCCUCGUUCGUGUUUUAAUCAAGCCUCUACUGGUGAGUGGUGAGCGGAAGGUUUGACGGCGACCAGCGGAUGUCAGCUCGCAUGGUGGUCGGCGGGUUAGAUCGACGGCAAUUUCGAUGCCCGCAUCGGCGUCAUGAGCAGGCGUAUGUCCUCCAUGUCAGCCGCGCGGCGGGUGGUUGUCGUCGCGGCGCUGCAAUUGACCGUCGUGGCUGCGAUGGUUCGAGCACGGUUGACAUGGAUUGCAGGAGGAUUAGGAUCCCGCUGUCCCUGUUUAAGGUUCGUGGUCCUCCCCUAUUUAUUCUCACGCGCAUGGACCCAACUGGCGUGAUGCCAUUCUUCUCCUUGCAUGCGGCUGCAAGUCCCUCCUCUUACACCAUGUCGAAUUCUAGUUUUUUCUUGCCACCUUACUCCUACCAGGUAACAUCUACUUACUGAUGUGAUUGCUUCCAAGAUUUCAGUGCUUAUGUGUCCUCCGUAAUUUCCCUUUGGAUCUCAUUCGUGCUGGCUCACCACUUGCAUUUCUUGCCCACGAGGUGUUUGUUUUAAUGUCUGAGUGGGAACUGCCGAUGAAAAUGUGCUCAAAGAGGCGCUUCUACCAAGGUGACGCACAGUAAUAGAUUGAUGGUAUUGCUUCUACGAUCUUACGAGCACUGAAUGCCAUGUUCAAGAUUGAGGAGAUAGAUAAGUUCCUUGUGUACAAAGCUUCGGAAAACCUCAUGCCGGCCUGCCGGCCAAUGUGGGAUCUGUAGCGCCGUCGUUGCUCCUCGUUCUUAGGGUAGGGUGGCUGUUGGCCCUCUUCUUGAUGUGGUCUAUAUGUUUCCCUCCCCUCAUGAUUGUCCGCAACCAGGUCUUCACUGCUGGAUCUCUUUGGUAUUGCUCUCUCUCCAGUAAUUUACACGGGCUUACUGUGGCGUCAACAGGAUGAAGCUUGGUUGAGAGAAGCCCUGUAAUUUGCAAAUAUUUCUGGAGCUCUCACCGGGUCAGACAGAGGAGCUACUCAUGCACAGCAAGUGGCUAAUACCCUAACCGAUGUACUCCCUGUUCUACUAAAUCAGCGACGAGUAAUAUGGAACGGAGGGAGUAGCUUCUUAAGUCAGAGAGGCACACAGUUCUCAUCUUGUCUUCUAUGUAAUGUUCCGCCUAAUACACAUUUUGCAGACAGGCACCAAUGUUCUUAUUCAAUGUGUCUACGCACGGCAAACUUGAUGGCACUGUCUCGCUAGGCACGAUCCUGAGGCCAAAUAUUUGGGAUAAUCUGGAAGACUGUUGGAUACACAUGGCAGAUUGCUGAAGGCAGGUCGAUUCUUUAGUUACGCUCACAUGUUGGAUCUUGUGGAAGCAAAAGAAUGCAAGAGUGCAGCACAAUGUUAGUGAUCUUGUGGACUGAAUCAAGGAUGAUUACAAACUCUGGAAAAGGGCUAGGGCGGAGGGAGCUGAACCAAUAGAGUAGUUAGCAUUGUGUUAGUUGGAGGGAGUAUAUCUGUUUUUUCUAUAAAACUAUAAAACUCGGGUAUGCAAAUCGUCUACUCUUGAAGAAUAAUAGUACUAGGAUAGUUUUAAGUUUCCUUUUCUGUACUAUCAUAAAAAAUGGACUCGGGUUCAAUUAUAUUAGAAUAAUUCAACCUGGCUGUUUGGUGCCGUGUCGGUGUUCCAAACAAGGUGCAAGAUGGCAUAAUGUAUUUUACCUUCUAACU